rnacentral:rRNA from 1 species
UACGUAGGUGGCAAGCGUUGUCCGGAUUUAUUGGGCGUAAAGCGCGCGCAGGCGGUUCGUUAAGUUCGGUGUGAAAGCUCCCGGCUCAACUGGGAGAGGUCAUCGGAUACUGGCGGACUCGAGGGAGGUAGAGGAAGGUGGAAUUCCCGGUGUAGUGGUGAAAUGCGUAGAGAUCGGGAGGAACACCAGUGGCGAAGGCGGCCUUCUGGGCCUUUCCUGACGCUGAGGCGCGAAAAGCGUGGGGAGCGA